GAUGAACGCUGGCGGCGUGCCUAACACAUGCAAGUCGAGCGAGAAGCUCAUCACAGAUGCUUCGGUUGAAGUGAUGAGUGGAAAGCGGCGGACGGGUGAGUAACGCGUAGGCAACCUGCCCUUUGCAGAGGGAUAGCCUCGGGAAACCGGGCUUAAAACCUCAUGACACCUCUUAAAGACAUCUUUGAGAGGUCAAAGAUUUAUCGGCAGAGGAUGGGCCUGCGGCUGAUUAGCUCGUUGGUGGGGUAACGGCCUACCAAGGCGACGAUCAGUGAGCGACCUGUGGGGUGUGUCGGCCACAUUGGAACUGAGACACGGUCCAAACGCCGACGGGAGGCAGCGGUGGUGAAUAUUUCACAAUUGGGGAAACCCUGAUGCAGCGACGCCGCGUGAAGGAAGAAGGCCUUUGGGUCGUAAACUUCUGUUCUAAGGGAAGAUGAUGACGGUACCUUAGGAGCAAGUCCCGGCUAACUACGUGCCAGCAGCCGCCGUAAAAC
rnacentral:rRNA from 1 species